AACUAACGCUGGCGGCGUGCCUAACACAUGCAAGUCGUACGAGAAAGCCGGCUUCGGCUGGUGAGUAAAGUGGCGCACGGGUGAGUAACGCGUGGAUAAUCUGCCCUUAAGUGUGGAAUAACGUACCGAAAGGUGCGCUAAUACCGCAUAAUGCCUGGCAACACAAGUUGUCCGGCCAAAGAAGGCCUCUGUUUACAAGCUUUCGCUUCAGGAUGAGUCCGCGUACCAUUAGCUUGUUGGUGGGGUAAUGGCCUACCAAGGCUACGAUGGUUAGCUGGUCUGAGAGGAUGAUCAGCCACACUGGAACUGAGACACGGUCCAGACUCCUACGGGAGGCAGCAGUGAGGAAUAUUGCGCAAUGGGGGCAACCCUGACGCAGCAACGCCGCGUGAGUGAGGAAGGUUUUCGGACCGUAAAGCUCUGUCGAGCGGGAAGAAAUGUAUCGUGGCUAAUAUCCAUGAUAUUUGACGGUACCGCUAAAGGAAGCACCGG
rnacentral:rRNA from 1 species